rnacentral:rRNA from 1 species
GCUUCCUACGGGAGGCAGCAGUGGGGAAUCUUGCACAAUGGACGAAAGUCUGAUGCAGCGACGCCGCGUGAGCGAUGAAGCCCCUAGGGGUGUAAAGCUCUUUCGACGGGAACGAUAAUGACGGUACCCGGAGAAGAAGCUGCGGCUAACUACGUGCCGGCAGCCGCGGUAAUACGUAGGCAGCAAGCGUUGUUCGGAAUUACUGGGCGUAAAGAGUGCGUAGGCGGUGCUUCAAGUUUGGUGUGAAAUCUCCCGGCUUAACUGGGAGGGUGCGCCGAAAACUGAGGUGCUCGAGUGUGGGAGAGGUAAGCGGAAUUCCUGGUGUAGCGGUGAAAUGCGUAGAUAUCAGGAGGAACACCAGCGGUGUAGACGGCUUACUGGACCAUUACUGACGCUGAGGCACGAAAGUGUGGGGAGCAAACAGGAUUAGAUACCCUGGUAGUCCACACCCUAAACGAUGCAUACUUGGUGUGAGCCAUUCAUUUGGUUCGUGCCGGAGCUAACGCGUUAAGUAUGCCGCCUGGGGAGUACGGUCGCAAGGCUGAAACUC